GCGGUCAUAGUUUAGUGGUAGAACGUGACGUUGCCAACGUCAUAGUGCGAGUUCGAUUCUCGCUGACCGCA
rnacentral:tRNA from 1 species